GUCUGUUUUACUUUUCCAACUUGUCUGGUGUGUUCCCUCCCGGGUGUUCUUCGCUGCAGUCAGCUCCUCGGAGCAUUUGAGAAUCUAGAGCUCGUUUGCAUCGGGACACAAGUUUCCUAAGGAAGAGAAAAGGGAAUGGACUGGCUCGUGAAUUUUCCUGCAGUCAAAUUUACCCCUCGCAACUCCCCAUAUUUCAAAAGCACCGCUCUUUCGUCGUAUUCAAGAUUUGCUUGAACUUACAGAGGUGUAAAUGCCUUUCCCAUCAGUGCCUUUGUACCCCAGGAUGGUAUUGUUUUAAACGUGCAAGAUGCAUGUUCGUUUGAUGGAUCUCAAAGGCAUCUAACAAGACUUACAUACUAUCUAAGAAAUACUUUUCAGCAAAAAUUUGAAGUCUUUUUAAAAAAAAACUUUAAGAAAAGUGGUCAUAAAAUGCAAGAACAUUUAUUCUGGGAGAAAAGAGUUACAGAACUUUAAGGACGCUUUUGUACGUAGGAGGGGAAGGGAUGGGAGAGAUGGAAUAAAAUAAAAUUUAUUUAAAAGA